rnacentral:rRNA from 1 species
UACGUAGGGCGCAAGCGUUGUCCGGAAUUAUUGGGCGUAAAGAGCUCGUAGGCGGCUUGUCACGUCGGGUGUGAAAGCCCGGGGCUUAACCCUGAGCUUGCAGUGGUGACGGGCAGACUAGAGUGCGGUAGGGGAGACUGGAAUUCCUGGUGUAGCGGUGAAAUGCGCAGAUAUCAGGAGGAACACCGGUGGCGAAGGCGGUUCUCUGGGCAUUACCUGACGCUGAGGAGCGAAAGUGUGGGGAGCGAACAGG